GGGCGGAGGGCAGGGGAGCUGCCAGAUGUUGACAGCUGCCGGCCGCUGCCCGUAGCAGGCGGCAGCAGCUUCCAGGCUGGGGAGCUCCUCCGGCUGCUUGACAUGGUGACGGGAUCGAUUAGAUCGGGAGAGGUCCCGCCUGAUGCAGCGGUGCACCUUUGCAUCUUCCUCAGCAUUUUAGGCACCAUGCAGUGACACUGAACGCUGAGACUAAGGCUGUUUGAAGGGUGCAAGUGGGUCGGAAAGAAUUGAGGGAACAAGAUGCCUGUAAUAAAGCUAUGGCAGAAGAUUUUUCCAACUGUUGGAAACAACGAGGGAAGAAAUAACAAGCAGUUACCGUUUUGCAGCCAGCUACAGACUACAGUGAUGGUGAUGAUGAUGAGGGUAAUCUCCAGGAGAACGUACCACAGAGCAUACGAGAGGUCUGGCUUCAUAAGGGGAGAUGUACCAGAGCAAAAGAUUGCAGUGAUGAACCACCAUCUUCACAACUUUUCUGCCUGGGAUGGCGUUAUGUUUGUACUCGGAGCUGCAGCCGAGCUCUGAAGCACCGGCCAUGCGUGGCAGCAUCUAUGCAGCCCAAAAUGUCACGCUAACUCAUGCAUGCCCAAUGAUGUAAAAAAUAAAACCUGAAAGCAUGAGACAGUCA